rnacentral:rRNA from 1 species
AAUAUUGGACAAUGGGCGAAAGCCUGAUCCAGCCAUGCCGCGUGUGUGAAGAAGGUCUUCGGAUAGUAAAGCACUUUAAGUUGGGAAGAAGGGGUUGAAGCUAAUACCUUCAAUCUUUGACGUUACCAACAGAAUAAGCACUGGCUAACUCUGUGCCAGCAGCCGCGGUAAUACAGAGGGUGCAAGCGUUAAGCGGAAUUACUGGGCGUAAAGCGCGCGUAGGUUGGUCAGGAAGAUGGAAGUGAAAUUCCCGGGCUUAACCUGGGAACUUCUUUCAAAACUGCUGAGCUAGAGUACGGUAGAGAGUAGGGGAAUUUCCUGUGUAGCGGUGAAAUGCGUAGAUAUAGGAAGGAACACCAGUGGCGAAGGCGACUACCUGGACUGAUACUGAAACUGAGGUGCGAAAGCGUGGGGAGCAAACA